UACGUAGGGUGCGAGCGUUAAUCGGAAUUACUGGGUGUAAAGCGUGCGCAGGCGGUUCGUUGUGUCGGUGGUGAAAUCCCCGGGCUUAACCUGGGAAUGGCCAUGGAAACUGGCGAACUGGAGUGCGGCAGAGGGGGGUGGAAUUCCGCGUGUAGCAGUGAAAUGCGUAGAGAUGCGGAGGAACACCGAUGGCGAAGGCAGCCCCCUGGGCUAGCACUGACGCUCAGGCACGAAAGCGUGGGGAGCAAACAGG
rnacentral:rRNA from 1 species